rnacentral:lncRNA from 1 species
AGAUGAUACACCACAAAGAGAACUUCAUAAAUACAGCAGUUCACAAGAUUCAGUACACAGAAAUGAACAUUUCUUUAUUUCUCUAUAACUAAAUUCAACCAAACUUUGGAGCCUUCAUUGUUAUGGUACAAAACAUUAAAUUGUCAAGGUCUAUACAGCCACAUGUAACUUAGAACACGUUUUUGUUGUGGUGGUGGUGGUGGUGGUGGUGGUUGUUAUCAAUUAUGUCAGUUCCACCUUCUAAAACUGUUUUUCCUGCCAUUCCUCUCAUGUAAUCGUGUAUUAACAAACACUUACCUGCCAAGUAGAAAUUAAUUCCUUCAAUCUUCACAUCAACUCUCUGAAGAACACAGUGUUAUUUUCUCUACUUCAAAGGUAUAGAAAGUGAGAUACAGAGAGCCAAAUUUGCCAAAGGUCAUAUAGCUAGGGAAGUGGCAGAGCUGAGAUUCAGACCCAUGUUUUUACCGUGGCACCUGUAAUAGAAAAGCAAUAACUGGAGUUCCCGUCGUGGCGCAGUGGUUAACGAAUCCGACUAGGAACCAUGAGGUUGCGGGUUCGGUCCCUGCCCUUGCUCAGUGGGUUGAUGAUCCGGCGUUGCCGUGAGCUGUGGUGUAGGUUGCAGACCCAGCUCGGAUCCUGCGUUGCUGUGGCUCUGGCAUAGGCCAGGGGCUACAGCUCCAAUUCGACCCCUAGCCUGGGAACCUCCAUAUGCCAUGGGAACGGCCCAAGAAAUGGCAAAAAAAAAAAAAAGUAAAGCAAUAACUGAGGGGCAGUUUUGGCGGAUGAGUUUGAGGGAGACCUCACAGAGCUCUCUCCCCACAUCAGGAUGGCACUCUGAAUCUCUGGAAAAAAAUCUCUGAAGUGGGUGGGAGUUAGCAGAGAAUCUCAAAAGAGACUGGAGAUUGAGCUGACAAAGACAGAGAUUCCACCGUGGGGCAAGACACCAGUGGAAGCCAAAAGAGACUGGACGAAAUAUGGAUCAGAUGCACAGAUGUUUCCUAAGUCCCCGGGAGCAUAGAGAGCCCAGAGAACUUAGAAAGCAGAGAGGUAAUAAAGCACAGGUUAGAAGCACCUCCCCUGGAGAUGCCAUUGUCACAGUCCCUGCUCUGUCAUUUAACUAGCUAUGCGAUGUUGGGCAAUGAGACUUCACUGUGCCUUAGCUUUCACUCAUAAUAAGUAGAGACCAUAGCGCUGUAUACCUGCAGGAUUAUAUGAAUUCACUGACAUAUAAGAAGAGCUUAUAAUCAUAGUGCUUUGUCUCUGACCCAAGAGUCUCUUGUUUCUACCAAAAUCCAUGACACUGGCAGGAUAACUUUUAGCUUACAAGUAGUUAAAAAUGUUAGACUCUUCACAUCCCAUUUAGUAUGUAAUAAAUAUCCUUAAUAAAUCAAAUUGUUUGAUUUAUUGCAAUGUGAUUUAGUAGUAUCCUAAGAGCAGUAACUUUUUUACUUUUCUAAGUUUUUCAGUGUUUCGUUCUCGGGUUACUCAAAUGCAUGUGCUUGUUUUGUUCUUUACCUACAACAUGUCCUUUAAAAAAGAAAAAUACUUACCUGUAUUUAAACAGUAAGCAAAGGUUGAUGCUAGUGACUGGAAAUGUCUAAAUGUGCUUCAUUAUAACCACAUACACAGCCUAGGAGUAUAUCAUUACUGAAACUAAGAACACUGAAGAAUAAAGAUUUUCAAGGAAUGCAAAUUUCAUUUCUCCAUCUGCCACAUUCACAGGAGGAAAUGGAAUAAGAGUGCAUUAACGUUUCAAGCUCAGGUUCAAGACAGUACUUUGAAAAAAGGAAUAACAGCAAGUAGUAAAUUCAAGACAAUUAGAGCAUCCAUUAUUUUACAAUCUCUGAAAACAAUCAGUUGGGUCAGAUUUUUUAAGAUUAUUUAAAGAAACAGACAACAAAUCAAAUGAUGGUGCUUCCGUAAUCAAAUAAUAAGAUCAGCAAAGCAAAAACACAGGAUAGAUACGCCUACCACCACAAACCUCGAAGAAGGGCGUCAACGUUUCUCCCUAGCUCUACUCAAGCCUGGUCAUUCUGGAAUAACAUGUUUCUGCCAUCUGCCCAUUUGUGAGUGACUUGUAGAAACUGACAUCUAAAAUAACUUGAUGGGCGUAAUUAAACCUUACCAGUCUUGGCUGCUUUCUCAAAUAUCAUAAUAAAAGGGUGAAAUUAUAUACUAGACAUAGUUGUUUUCCAAAGUGGGAAACAUAAAAAUUUAGGGAGACAAAGUAUAAUGUUAUGAGAACAGUGUUUUUACUGAGUAAGCCAAUGAAUGUGGUGUUGCUAAGACAUUUUUCCUCAUGCCCUGCUGUUGGGAGUUGCCCCUUCUCUCUGCUUUAUUCCUCCUCCACUUUCCUUACUCACUCAUUAUCAAAUACACUCAUCUUGUUUAACUAACAUGGUACUUAACCUCCGUUUGAUGUUGGGAGCGUAGGGCUGCUGAAAUUACAACCAAAAGGAUAUGAGAGAGCAUAAGAGAAAUAGGCAGAGAGGAAAAAUAGAAAUUUCAUGUUUAAGUCUCAUAAUGACCAAAACAUAGUUUAAGUUCAAAGUGUGAAUCUAUUUCUGGACAGAGAAAGCCAAACCAACAGUAGAUAUUUUAACUCUGUAAAACUGGAGAUGUGGACAGCGGUUUAUAAGUUGACCAUUUAUUUUAGGAUUUUAGCAUAGUUGUAUAUUAACAGAGUCCACUGACCACUUACCAAUACCAAAUUUCCAUCUAAGCAUCUCUCCUAAAAUCAUGGAAGUUAAAAUUAAAUCCAGUAAGAUGAAUUUUAAUUGGAAUGCAUUUUGUACUUACUAUGGGAUUUUCAGAUUCCCCCAUACCAAAAUUUUUUUCUUUUACAAAAGGUUCAUGAUGAUUCUGAUGGUACCCUUACAAAUCAGUACCCUUAUAGUUGCCCAGAAGAGACAUGCAUGGAUUACUUUAAGACUUGGAGAUUAUUAAAAGAACACAUUUAAAAAAAAUGUCAUCUGUUGCAGUCUUUCUAAGCCAUAGGGUUGGGAUACACAGUUGUGCUUCAUGGAAAAAACAGAACAAUUGUUCACAUGUUUGUGGAAAGAACCUGAGCUCAAUUGGCACACCUUUUUCAUUUAUCCAAAAUUUAUUUUUCCCAAAUGAAAGCAGGGUCUGUAAUCUGCCAUUCAAUAAGGAGCACUUCUAUUAGCCAGGAAUUUAUCAUAAGCCACUUCACAUGCCUCCCCUGUUUUCAGCCCAUGUGUGACUGACUUUGACUUGAAUUCCAUGAACUAGUUUAACUGGUGCUCUUUGGUUACACACAAAAGUACGUUAUAUCCAGCUGAUGCCGUAAGAGGUCUUGGUUGUCUGGCACACCCCGAUCACAGGAAAGAUGGUGGUUUAAGGCCUGAAAUUAAGAGGAACUAGAACUCAGAGGAACCAGGAUUCUCUAGCUUUCUCUUUUCUGUGAUUCUCUGCACACCAGGUUUUUCCUUGAGGUUGAAACUCUGACUACCACUAUCAUACAUCUUUCUAGCUCCACUGCCAAAGAAAAAUGUACUUCCCCCAGUUGUGAAUAAAAAACAAAAUUUCAGGUAAUCUCAAGGAAAUACUCUCAUUGAUUGGCCUGGGCCAUGUGACUGUUCUCUUGGCCAGAUAGUCAAGGAGCUAGAGUGGCAAAUCCAAUGAGAUCUCCGUGGUUAGCGUGAAGGGAAAAAGAAGUUCUCAACAGGAAAGAGUGAAUGCUAAGCAGAUAAAGCAAUAGCUGUCUAAUUAUUUGUGGGAAAGGCUUGCUGUUAAUAAAUGUAAUGUGAUGUAAGCGAAAGCAAUCUGUAUAAUCAACAUGGCAGCUGUAGAGGAGGCAAGUACCUGAGACUUACGCAUCCAUGAUACAGCCUGUUCAGAAUUUAGACCAAAUUCCCUUCACUCAACAGACGAAGAGAUAGACCCCGGAAAAAUAAAACAUAAUCCACAUACACGAAUGUGGCACAUAAGUGUCUUUGUCCAUUCAAGCUGCUAUAACAAAAAUGCCACAGACUGGUCGCUUAAGCAACAAACUUUUAUUUCUCACUGUUCAGGAGGCUGAGAAGUCCAAAAUCAAGACUCUGGAAGAUUUAGUGCUUUCUGAGGACCUACUUACAUUGUCCUUAAAUGGCAGAAGGGGCAAGGAGCCCUCUGAGGUCUCUUUUAUAAGGUCACUAAUCCCACGCAGGAGGCCUCCACCUUUCUGACCUAAUCAUUUACCAAAGGCUCCACUUCCAAAUACCAUCACUUUGGAGAUUAGGUUUCAACAUAUGAAUUUUGAGAGGGCACAAACAUUCAGUGAAUAGCAAACAGUUAAAAAUAAAUCCUGCUGUAUAGCAAGGGAACUAUAUCUACUCACUUACGAUGGAACAUGAUGGAGGAUAAUGUGAGAAAACGAAUGUAUAUAUAUGUGUGACUGGGUCACUGUGGUAUACAGUAGAUAUUGACAGAACACUGUAAAUCAACUAUAAUGGAAAACAUAAAAAUCAUUUUUAAAAUAAAUAAAUAAAUCACUUGCUUCCAACACACAUUGCAGGGUGAAAUGACAUCCCUCCUAAUAUUCACUUGCAGGAUUUGCAGAGGCCUGGUUUGGAAGUGAAGCCUCACAAUGCCAGUUGAGAACUUUUUAACCCCAGCAAGAACAGAAAGAAGAACAGGGCUUUUUCAGCCUGUUUGUACCUCACUGUCAAAGUUAAAGCCUCAUGACAUUGUAGUAUAUUUCAUGAAAACUUCUGAGAGGCCAAACAGCCACACCCCUAAACAGAAGCCCUCCUGUUCCACCCACUGUAGCCUUUAAGUCCUCCCAUUCUUUUCCUACUUACUGGAUCAAGCAGUCAACUUGACUCCUUUCCCUUCAAACAUUGCACCACUUGUACAUUUAUAGAGAGACUUAAAAUGACAGUCUUGGGUGUGUAGUAAUCUGAACUACUUCAUGUCCAUUUAUCUCAAAUCAGCUUACUAGAAUGUAACUUUGAAUUUGGAAGAUGUAGUUUUUCUGCUGCUAUAAAAAUGCAAGUUCUUGAGCUAAAUUUCUUUCAGGUUUCAGAGAAAAAGAAAAGAAUCGCUUCCAGGUAAUAGCCAGUCAAAUGCAGGGUUUGGCUCUCCCUGUCUCCUCUCCCUUUCUGCCCAGGGCCAGGAUAAUCUAAUUUCCAAUGUCUGGUUCCCAUGUUUCUCUGGUCCCAGUAGCCUCUGCUUGCUUGUUCAUUGCCCACAUGGACACAAGGUAUCCAUUGCUCUCCACUGUCCUCUACUGUCCUUAUCCAACCAUAAGGCCUCCUCCAUCCCCACAGUCCAGUCCUUUCAGCAUUUUUGGGCCCCACCCAGGGGCCCAGAAAUUUACAUGCACCUCCUCUGCACCACUCUGGGGCCAUUGGAUGAGAUGGGUUGUCCUCAGCCCUCCCUGCCUUGGUCACCACUACACUGUCAUGCCAAUACCAGCUGUUCCAGGACCAGACAGAUCUUGAGGCUUAGAAGAGGUGAAAGUGUCCUGAAGCUACCGGAGGAGUGAGCACAAAGUCUGCAGCUCUCAGAGUCCCCCAAAUUUAUACUUGCAAACACACCCACACACGGACUCACCCUUGGGAUUUGACCUCACUUCUCAGGAUCCCAGAAACACCUAAUUAAAUAGCUGACAAAUGUAACAGAUAAUUAUAGAUCUUAACAACAGAGGAAACUAGGUAAAGGUAUGUAGAGAUUCUCUGUGCUAUCUUUGUAACUUUCUCUAAACCUAAAAUUAUACCAAAAUUUAAAGUUGACAUAGAAAGUAAUGAGAAGGGAGUGGUGGGUGGAGGUAUGGGAGGGACAAGAUUAACUGGGGACUGGUAGUUGUUGAGAUGGGGUGAUGAGACGGGAGGUUACUAUGCUACUCUGCCUAUUUUAGGUUGUAAGUUCUCCAUAAUUUAAAAAAAAAA